GAGCGGCGGACGGGUGAGUAAUGCCUAGGAAUCUGCCUGGUAGUGGGGGAUAACGCUCGGAAACGGACGCUAAUACCGCAUACGUCCUACGGGAGAAAGCAGGGGACCUUCGGGCCUUGCGCUAUCAGAUGAGCCUAGGUCGGAUUAGCUAGUUGGUGAGGUAAUGGCUCACCAAGGCGACGAUCCGUAACUGGUCUGAGAGGAUGAUCAGUCACACUGGAACUGAGACACGGUCCAGACUCCUACGGGAGGCAGCAGUGGGGAAUAUUGGACAAUGGGCGAAAGCCUGAUCCAGCCAUGCCGCGUGUGUGAAGAAGGUCUUCGGAUUGUAAAGCACUUUAAGUUGGGAGGAAGGGCAGUUACCUAAUACGUAUCUGUUUUGACGUUACCGACAGAAUAAGCACCGGCUAACUCUGUGCCAGCAGCCGCGGUAAUACAGAGGGUGCAAGCGUUAAUCGGAAUUACUGGGCGUAAAGCGCGCGUAGGUGGUUCGUUAAGUUGGAUGUGAAAUCCCCGGGCUCAACCUGGGAACUGCAUCCAAAACUGGCGAGCUAGAGUAUGGUAGAGGGUGGUGGAAUUUCCUGUGUAGCGGUGAAAUGCGUAGAUAUAGGAAGGAACACCAGUGGCGAAGGCGACCACCUGGACUGAUACUGACACUGAGGUGCGAAAGCGU
rnacentral:rRNA from 1 species